rnacentral:rRNA from 1 species
UACGGAGGGUGCGAGCGUUGUCCGGAAUCAUUGGGCGUAAAGAGCGUGUAGGCGGCCAGGUAGGUCGGUUGUGAAAACUGGAGGCUCAACCUUCAGAGGUCGACCGAAACCAUCUGGCUAGAGUCCGGGAGAGGAGAGUGGAAUUCCUGGUGUAGCGGUGAAAUGCGCAGAUAUCAGGAAGAACACCCGUGGCGAAAGCGGCUCUCUGGAACGGUACUGACGCUGAGACGCGAAAGCGUGGGGAGCGAACAGG